GGUAUAGUUCAAUGGUAGAGCACAUGCUUAGCAUGCAAGAGGCCCUGGGUUCCAUCCCUAGCACCA
rnacentral:tRNA from 1 species